UAAAUAAAAUAAAAUUGGAAUGAUACAGAGAAGAUUUAGCAUGGCCGCUAAACAAGGAUGACAUGCAAAUUCAUGAAGCAUUCCAUAUUAAA
rnacentral:snRNA from 1 species